CUGAGAUGGCCAACUAAAAGCAGCUAGUGUGCACUGCUGUCAUGGAGAGGAAUGGAACCUCCUCAACACAGGGGAACCUCCCCAGUCCAGGGAAGUGUUCCCAACUGUUAAUUUGUUAUCCAGUCUCCUCAUGCACCAUAUUGAAAACAGAGCCUUCAGUUAAUCAUAACUCAGAAACCCAUAGCAAAUUGUAAAAAUGGCCACAUCAUAAAGUCUUCUCAUCCUGUAUGCACACUCAUUUAUGACUUUACAGUUCUUCCCAUCAAGAGAUGAAGUCUAUUCUUUACUCCUUGAAUUUGGGCUUAGCUAUGUGACUUACUUUAGUGGAUGGGACAUUAGCAAUGUGUCAGGAGCAAAUGCUUGAAAAGUGCUUGUGCAUUGGAGUUUACUCUCUGGAUGGUCUUUGGAAGCCUGGGACUACCAUAGGAAAAAAUUCAAAACCAGCCUGCUGAUAAGAGAACACGUGGAGCAAAGAUAGCAUCUCAGCUGAAGCUCUCCUAGACCCUCCAGCCACAACCAAGAAAUAAGCCAGCUAACCCUAGACAUCAGCCACGCCAUCUCAGACCAGAAGAAAUGUCCACCUGAUUAAGAGAACAGUGAGAAAUUCUUAUUUUAAGCCACUAAAUCUUGGUAGGGGUUAGCACACAGUAAUAGCUAACUGAUACAUGUUCCUUCUGCUUUCAUUUCAGUACUGAGAGCAAUUCACAUGCACAUAACUCACUUCAAAGUCCCAUGGACCCAGCAGGUUUGGGAAUUUAGAUGCUAAUAAAUGGUAAUGAUGUUUGUCCCAAUA
rnacentral:lncRNA from 10 species